UACGGAGGGAGCUAGCGUUGUUCGGAAUUACUGGGCGUAAAGCGCACGUAGGCGGCUUUGUAAGUUAGAGGUGAAAGCCCGGGGCUCAACCCCGGAAUUGCCUUUAAGACUGCAUCGCUUGAAUCCAGGAGAGGUGAGUGGAAUUCCGAGUGUAGAGGUGAAAUUCGUAGAUAUUCGGAAGAACACCAGUGGCGAAGGCGGCUCACUGGACUGGUAUUGACGCUGAGGUGGCGAAAGCGUGGGGAGCGAACAGG
rnacentral:rRNA from 1 species